rnacentral:rRNA from 1 species
AGCGGCGAACGGGUGAGGAAUACAUGGGUAACCUACCCUCGAGUGGGGAAUAACUAGCCGAAAGGUUAGCUAAUACCGCGUACGCUCCUUGGACUUCGGUUCAGGGAGGAAAGCGAUACCGUGGGUAUCGCGCUCUUGGAUGGGCUCAUGUCCUAUCAGCUUGUUGGUGAGGUAACGGCUCACCAAGGCUUCGACGGGUAGCUGGUCUGAGAGGACGAUCAGCCACACUGGCACUGCGACACGGGCCAGACUCCUACGGGAGGCAGCAGUAAGGAAUAUUGCGCAAUGGGCGAAAGCCUGACGCAGCGACGCCGCGUGGGGGAUGAAGGUCUUCGGAUUGUAAACCCCUUUCGGGAGGGAAGAUGGAAUGGGGUAACCCAUUCGGACGGUACCUCCAGAAGCAGCCACGGCUAACUUCGUGCCAGCAGCCGCGGUAAUACGAAGGUGGCAAGCGUUGUUCGGAUUCACUGGGCGUACAGGGAGCGUAGGCGGUUCGGUAAGCCCUCUGUGAAAUCUCCAGGCUUAACCUGGAACAGUCGGAGGGGACUGCUGGGCUAGAGGACGGGAGAGGAGCGCGGAAUUCCCGGUGUAGCGGUGAAAUGCGUAGAGAUCGGGAGGAAGGCCGGUGGCGAAGGCGGCGCUCUGGAACGUUUCUGACGCUGAGGCUCGAAAGCGUGGGGAGCAAACAGGAUUAGAUACCCUGGUAGUCCACGCCUUAAACUAUGAAUACUAAGUGUCGGCGG